CACAGUUAGGCCGAGUGGUCUAAGGCGCCAGAUUUCUGAAAGGGCGUGGGUUCAAAUCCCACAGCUGUCA
rnacentral:tRNA from 1 species